UGACUCAGGUUUUUCUUAAUGACGCACAAGUCUUUCACCUUUUACUAAAAACUAACGUGGAGAGGAACACCAGUGAGUUAAAUAUAUUUUUGGGAGGCUUUGCCAUGUGGCUGAGAC